rnacentral:rRNA from 4 species
GAAAGACUCUCGGCAACGGAUAUCUCGGCUCUUGCAUCGAUGAAGAACGUAGCGAAAUGCGAUACUUGGUGUGAAUUGCAGAAUCCCGUGAACCAUCGAGUCUUUGAACGCAAGUUGCGCCCGAAGCCAUUAGGCCGAGGGCACGCCUGCCUGGGUGUUGCACAUCGUUGCCCU